CCAAUUAAAACCCCAUCAGCAGCCCACCAUAACCAAUGGCCUAACUCUCAGUCCAAGCCCGACCCGACCCGCCAGCCCAUUCUUUUCUUCUUUACCCAUCAACAAUUCAGUACAACAUUAACAUUAACCAUAAGCGCAACAAUGGUAAAACCCAACAAAACAGCAACAUCGAUCAACAAUAAACACCAUUAAUAUCGGCGACCCAACUCCAAUCCAACCCAUGACCAGGCGAAAAAAUCCAACCCAAUAUCAAUUCAAACAGCAACAGUGAACGCCACCACCUCGAACUUGACCCAGCUCUGACCCAUGAUUCCAGUAAUAAGGAAUCGUACUACCUCAACAACUUAGCAUCCGACCUUUUCAAAAUUGUAUGAUUUUCGUAUGAUUUUACAGCUCAUCCUCUUAUCCCUUUUCAAAUUUGGAAUUUCCCCUUUUGAAAUCCCAGAAUUAGCCUAAAAAAUUAUCACUCCCACUUCGAUUGGAGCAUAAAUGGGAAUCCAAAUUCCCUUCUAUAAAAAGGGAUUCUUGAGCAAAAACAAUAAAGUCGGAAAAGGCUGAAAAACUUUUUGAGAAAAAAAGUCUAUUAUUCCAGUUAAAAUAGCUUUUUUCGUGAGAAGUUGUCAAUUACGUGAAGUUUUCUUUGAGUUGCAGAGCCUUUUCCAGUGGUGGUAGAAGUUCCAUCGAAGAUUCAAGCCCUGUUUUGCUGCUCUGAAAUAGGUGGCUUUGAUGGACGUUCGAUCGUUGUAUUAGUGUUUAUAAUGGUGUGCUGGGAUUGACUUUUGUAGAUGGCUUUGAUGGCCGUAGGUUUCAUUUAUGAUGGUUGUUAUUCAAAUUGAUGUGCUCACUGCUAUUGUUCUGCACCGUUAAUGAAGUGGUUUUCAUUGCAGAGUUUUGAAAUCUAUACUCAAAUAUUGUUUCUUCUUUUGUCUUGUUGUCUGUUAUGCUUCAUAUAGUGGGGGUUAGUAAUUAUAAAAUCUCUUUACUGUGAAUUGUUAUAAUCUAUAGAAGCUCCCUGAAGCAUUUGCUGCAUGUUUCAAGCUACAGCUUGUUAGAAUAUGUAUGGUAAUUUGGAUAGAUGUUUUACUUGUCAAGAAAACUCCGCUCUACGUCUAUUCUUUAUUGUAUUUAGGGAGAGUUGGUUGUUAAAAUUUUAAGACGGAAAAGGCUAUAGUGUAUGUGAAGAUUGUUUGUUGCUUAAGUCUUGGAACUUAUUUCAUAUAACGGCUGGACUUAAAUACGAAGUCAACUCUAUUUCAUAACGGGUUUUUUUUUAUUGAUGUGUUAUUUUAUUUUACAUAGAUAUGCUGCUCAUUUUUUAACCCUUUUUGGUUUAUGGAUCUGGCCUAAAAGUCUUUUAGAGUCCUUGGUUUUGCUCUUGGUAGUUGCUUAGAUUGUUUCGUUCUCUCUAAGUGUGUUAGAGCCUCUGUCGAAUUUUCUUUACUCACAAUAUAGAUGAGAAUGGUGGAGUAGGUUUAUAGAAGGGGGAUAUUUCAUUCAAAGAUCUCUCUAUGACCUUCUUGAUGUGUGAGGUUCUUUUGGACCUACACAAGAGAGGAAGAGAAUGAAAUAAGUCCCAAUGCCAAAGCUACCCCUUAAAAAGUAUUACGAAACACUUUAGCCCUGGAUUAAAUUCAUUGCUCAUUUCCUCCUAUGUGUUAAAUUAGAAUAGUCUACGAAAUUAAAAUUAUUUUUCAGAAGGAAUGUUAUAUUGAUAUUAAGGGAUCUUUAUGCUCUUUUAUCGUAUUUUGACAAGCGAAUCUCAGUAACUUGUUAAAGGAAGGAUGAAAAGGUCUUGUGAAUAAGGAGCUUCACUGAGUCUUUGAUUGUUCCAUCAUUGGGUUGAAUUAUUUAGGCAUGUAAUAAUUUUAUAGAUGUAUAACUUUACCUCAAAACUAAUUUUUUUCAAUAUGAAGUAUUUUGUUUCCUCGAUAUCUUGGUCGUCUUUUUGAGUUUAUACAUGUGUUUUUGUUUAAGAUUUUCCUCAGUUGUACCAAGAAAGGGUUGAUGAAACUAUGAGGGAAAGGCAAUGUGUCUUAUUUUUCUUGUUAUUUUCCUAAAUGUUUGACUAUAAUUUAAUAUGCUUAAAUCAUCCUUACUUCUACUUAUUCGAAUUUAUAAAAUUGAUUUCAAACUUCUUCCUGUUUAUUCAUUGAAGUCAAUUACUUUUUUUCUUCUUUUUGAUGUGCUAGUGAUGGCCAUAAAUGUGUAGCUUCAUCAUGUUAAGAUGCCCAUUUCCAUUUUUGUUCUCUGGCUGUAGAAUCCAAAAAAUUGGUUCUUUCUCUUUUGAAGUCAAAAUGCUUAUUUUCCUUUACACUUGUGUAUUUUAUAUAUGUUUUGGGUGCGCAUUGAUCUCCCUUCAUCUUUUUCUUUUCAUGAACUCGCGUUGGAGUCCAAAUGGACUUUUUCCUCCGUACAUUUUGUAACGGGCCAUUGAGGCCCAUCCUUUUGAAGAUUCAAAAAGAUGGUCCGAAAGGGGGCGCUACCUGUCGUAUGAGUAAAGAUGGUAGAAGUAAGGAUGCCUCAAUCAUACACCAAUUGAAGAAGGAAUUAAAGCAAGCCAGGAAAGCAAUUGAUUGAUUUGGACAAUUGCAUCUAGAGCAAAGUUAUAGGGGAAUCGCUUGAUCAUCAAUAGAUGUUGCCAAUGACAAUAAGUAUACAAAACUAAGAGGGAGAAGGCCGAUAGAAGAGCAUUCAGGAAUUAGUAUUUCCUAUCCUCUGUGCAGGACAUUGUUUUUUUUCUCAUGUUAUUUUCCCUUUCCCUGAAGAUUGUAUCCCUUUUGUGCAACUUUAUGUACACCUAUGAAGGUUUUGGGGGGAUAAUGGAUUGGUUUUAAAAAUCAUAUACUUCCUUCAAAUACGUUAGGGCAACCCUUGGCUCAAAAGGGUGACCCAAUUAGAAUGCACGUUUAUUACAAUAUGUUUGUAUUAUAUAACUGUUUAUGUGAUGAUACGUGCUAUGUUGAUUCGAAUCAAAGGUAAAUUGAUCCAAUCCCAUUUUCCGUAGAACAUCUCAAGGUAAAAAUAUACCCCACUAUACAAAAGUCCGACCAAACGUACUCUAAGUCUCCCAAGUUUCUUAGAAAAGUUUGCAGUCAUUCUUAAAACAUCCAAAAUGAUCGAUAUCAUUUUAGGAAAGUUGACUUUAGAAUAAAGAAAAGCCAAUAUAGUUUCGGCCCAACCUCCAUCUUCAAAAUCUCCGUUGUCCUCCACUUUCUUGAAAAAGUAAUAAGAUCGGAAAGAAGAAAAGUUGGGCCUUCCUGAUAAAUUCCACUUAUCCAUAUCAUUAAGAAAAAUCCUAUUCAUUGAAAUUCUCGAGUCAUCAUUAAUUCAUGGAUGAAUUCACAUGAGAUAAGAAAUAACUCUAUAUGUUUACUUCCUACCAUAUUAUCUUACUUUGGUUAUUACUAAUGAAAUCUAACACAUCAGCGUUUAAGUUGUUUUUACCUUGCAGGUAAUAGAAACUACUCUGUAUUGGCACAAAAUGACCCUAUUUUACUAGAUCAAAGUGAAUAAGAGACCUCUCUCUUAAUUAUAUCUUUGUUACAGGAAAAGAAAAAUGACUAUUUGUAAAAUUGGACUCUAUUAAUCAUUUUUCAAACCUGUAAACGAUGGUCUCGAUGAUGGGAUAAGGAAAAUACGAGGAUAGAAUUUUCCAAGAGAACUGGGAUCGAGGAAGAUUAAUUGGAGGAAACAUUGUUGAAUUGGACCUCCACUCCACUUAAGACUCAUUGCCCGUCAUACAGUAAUAACUUAAAACCUGUCAUUUUCAUGUCCUGUCAAGAAGUAAGAUAAUGACGAAUGAGAGACAAUAGCCUUAGAACAGUCAAUAGAAGAGUCAAAGAGUUCGAGAAUCAAAGAAGCCUAAUCUAGAGAAAACUGAGGUGGUUAACUAGGAGGGCACUAACUAAGGGAAUUGGACAAUUGAUCCUUCGUUCUAUCAAGAAAAAGCAAUGAAAAUGUCAUGUCAUCCGUAGAAGUGCUUAGUAAGAUGGAUAAUAGUAUUCUAAUGUGUGAGCAGAUGCUAACACAUUUGAGGUUUUUAACUGAGAAUAAUUGCAAAGUCUUAAGCAACUUUUAUCGUUUUUAAUUGUUUUCUCUUUGAUAUUCCAGUAAAAGUCGAGAUGCAAGAGAAACAAUAAUAAUAGAAGUAAAAUAGUUGAUUUUUGAGCAAGUAGUGAGGGAAGUAUUGCUGACGACUUGUCUGAUAAGUCGUCAGGAUUGUGAUAAGCUAUCAGAGUUAUCGUCAGCUAUAGAUAGUGUGAGGAAGUUGGAGUACAAUUGUGAUGACAUCUCUGAUAAGUCAUCACAAUUCUGAUAAAUUGUCGAGAAUGUCGUCAGCCUAAGGCAGUACAUGAGAUUUGAAGUAAAGAAGUGAUGACAUUGUCUGAUAUGUCGUCAAAGCCCUGAUAAGCCAUUAGGAGUUGCCGUCAACCUAAGGUAGAAAUCAUCAAACUUGGAGAAGUAGCUGACGACAUCCCCUGAUAAGCCGUUAGGUGUCUGAUAAGCCGUCAAGCAUGUCAUCACACAUAUGCAGAAGGCAAGAAAUGGGAAUCAUGUAUGACCAAAUGGUUUGAUAAGCUAUCAGAUCUCUGAUAAGCCGUCAGACAAGUCAUCAGCUAAGGAGAAAAAUCUGAAUUUUUAAUUUCGAAUUUUUCUUAAGUUACAGAUAUAAAUAGCAGCUUUUAGGGUUUCAUUGAAGAGGGCUUAACAUCUUUAACUUAUUCAAAAUACUAAUUUACUUCUCUUUGGUCUCUAAAAUUUGAUUUCAAUUUUCAAUUCUUUGAUUUAGUUGUGGGAUAUUCUUCUUGAAUUUGGGAAGAGAAUCAAUUUCUAACUACAUCUUUUGUAAGUUUAAUCACUUUGAAUUAUGGAUUCAGAUAUUGUUAUUGCUUUCUCUUUCGUGUGGAACUAAAAUCCACAACUAGGGUUUUGGGAUCUAUGAUUACUCCUGUAUUGUCUUAAUAGUUGGUUAGGGUUCGAGUGAUUGUGGGAACAUCUGGAUAAUUCUUUUGUAUUA